rnacentral:other from 1 species
AUCACCCUGCGGUGUUGGUGCAGCUUUCUUUGGUUAAGACCUACAAGUUCCUCAACGGGAGUCACUAAGGUGCGGUUUCGCCACCGGCGUUGCCGCCCGGACACCCACUUGAAACCAGGGACUUUAACCGAUUAAAGUCACGGCACCGCGGGGUUUUU